GAACAAAGCGAUGAAAUCAUAUUCAAGCUGCUGCCGUUGCUUUUCAUCGUAUCAAAAUCCACCUGGUUGCCAACUUUUAUUGGUUUUACGGUGCGGAUAAAAUUACAUUAUAAAACCCCCAAGUUAUGAAACCCAUACAAAAAGAGACGGAGAUAAGGCUGGCCCUCAAAACCGAGUCAAACCUCUCUUGCCAGGGUCGAAGAGGGAGGGAGAAAAGAACUUUAAAAAAACAACAAAAAAGCCUCGAAGACAAAGAAAGCAGACAAGCUGCUGCUCCGACUCCGAAGUAAACCUUGAUCCAAAAUGAACUUGGCCCCCAAGGAGAAGGGCCACUACAGACAUAGGUCCUGCCAGAUCGCCAUACACAUUUUCACACACGAGCAAGAAUGUACUAGGUGAUGGCAAAAAAAGGCCUUUCAAAUUGAUGCUUGGUUUUUAAACUUCUAUGCCUUCCCAGGAUGAGUUGAUGCACAAAACAAAACAAAAACCCACGUACAACCUGUCUGCAGUAGAAUUUGGACAGCCUCCUUGCUUCUCUACUCAGAAAAAUAAAAUAAAUUGAGCAUUCCCAAACCCCCGAGAGGUUGCUUUUUUGGCCCAGAAAGCUGGAGAGCGCUCCCAAUUUCUUGCUUUUGCUGUUUUGCCUCCAGGAUAGGGGAAACAGGGGCACAAAAUGGGACAACUCGCCUCAGCCAACUCGCCUUGGGACAACUCAACAAUUUCAUUUACUUAUUUAAUCAUUUAAAAGUUAUUUUAAGAUUUGCCGUUCAUGUUUUAUUUUGUCCCUCCUUUGGCAUUCCUUUCUUUAAUGCAGAGGUCUUCAAACUUGGCAACUUUAAGGCUUGUGCACUUCAACUCCCAUAGCUGGCUGGAGAAUUCUGGGAGUUGAAGUCCAAAGUUGCCAAGUUUGGGGACCCCUGCUUUAAUGACUCCAUUUGACUAUUUCUCAAAAAAGCUCUCGUCCUGCGGCGAGUUGGCCCCCAGUCAGUUGGCCACAGCAAUUUGGCUGUGGCGAGAUGGCCAUGGUGAAUUGGCCACAUCCCUGUCUAGUU